CUGUAGAGUAUUUUAAUCGCCACUGGAUUAUGUGAACCUGUGAAAGAGCAUAAUGUAAAUCUGUAGAAGUACAUAAAAUGUCUGUAAACAUGCAAAUAUUACAUGAUACGGCGGUUUUCUGCCUUUCGGAGGUGACAAAGAGGUAGUGUCGAUGAUUCGUCACGACGGUGGAAUAAAAGGAAAAAAUCUUAAUAAAACUUUAAUGUGCUUUUCACCCACCUACCUCGAAGUUUCCAAUGCAGUUCCAGUGCAAGAAUAUUAUAAAGGCGAUGAACACAUUAUUUUUGGACUUAAAC